rnacentral:rRNA from 1 species
GAUGAACGCUGGCGGCGUGCCUAAUACAUGCAAGUCGAGCGAACAGACGAGGAGCUUGCUCCUUUGAUGUUAGCGGCGGACGGGUGAGUAACACGUGGAUAACCUACCUAUAAGACUGGGAUAACUUCGGGAAACCGGAGCUAAUACCGGAUAACAUGCUGAACCGCAUGGUUCAACAGUGAAAGACGGUCUUGCUGUCACUUAUAGAUGGAUCCGCGCCGCAUUAGCUAGUUGGUAAGGUAACGGCUUACCAAGGCAACGAUGCGUAGCCGACCUGAGAGGGUGAUCGGCCACACUGGAACUGAGACACGGUCCAGACUCCUACGGGAGGCAGCAGUAGGGAAUCUUACGCAAUGGGCGAAAGCCUGACGGAGCAACGCCGCGUGAGUGAAGAAGGUCUUCGGAUCGUAAAACUCUGUUAUUAGGGAAGAACAAAUGUGUAAGUACCUAUGCACGUCUUGACGGUACCUAAUCAGAAAGCCACGGCUAACUACGUG